GCCUUCGUGGUGUAGUGGUCAGCACGCUUGACGCGUAUUCGAGAGGUCCGUGGUUUGAAUCCCGGGGAGGGCA
rnacentral:tRNA from 1 species